rnacentral:rRNA from 1 species
CAUUAACGAUAGGUGUCAAGUGGAAGUGCAGUAAUGUAUGCAGCUGAGGCAUCCUAACAGACCGAUAGACUUGAAC